CUGGGCAAUACUUCUAUUCCAUGUGGCACGGACGUGAGUCGUGACUGGUACUGAGCAGGGGGUGGGGGUCUGGUCUGGAGUGCAGUGGCGUGAUCUUGGCUCACUGCAGCCGCGACCUUCCUGGGCUUAGGUGAUCCCUUGACCUCAACCUCCCAAGUAGCUGGGAUUACAGGCUAAUUGAUAUAAACAAGAGUUAAGCUCUCACAGCAUAUAUCCAGCCAGGAAAACAUCA
rnacentral:lncRNA from 10 species